CGAGUGAAGCGGCAACAGCUCAAAUUUGAAGAUCUGGCCUUCUGGUCCGAAUUGUAAUUUGUAGAGGAUGCUUUUGGUUAGGUACCUUUCGAGUUCCUUGGAACAGGACGCCUUAGAGGGUGAGAGCCCCGUACGAUUGGAUACCGAGCCUCUGUAAAGCUCCUUCGACGAGUCGAGUAGUUUGGGAAUGCUGCUCUAAAUGGGAGGUAAAUUUCUUCUAAAGCUAAAUACCGGCCAGAGACCGAUAGCGCACAAGUAGAGUGAUCGAAAGAUGAAAAGCACUUUGAAAAGAGGGUUAAAUAGUACGUGAAAUUGUUGAAAGGGAAGGGCUUAUGACCAGACCUUUGCCUUGCGGAUCAUCCGGUGUUCUCACCGGUGCACUCCGCUUGGUUGAGGCCAGCAUCAGUUUUGGCGGCCGGAUAAAGACUUCAGGAAUGUGACUCCUCCGGGAGUGUUAUAGCCUGCUGUGUAAUACGGCCGCUGGGACUGAGGACCGCGCUUCGGCUAGGAUGCUGGCAUAAUGGUCAUCAGCCACCCGUCUUGAAACACGGACCAAGGAGUCGAACAUUUAUGCGAGUUUUUGGGUGUUAAACCCUCAAGCGUAAUGAAAGUGAACGGAGGUGAGAGCCCUUACGGGUGCAUCAUCGACCGAUCCUGAUGUCUUCGGAUGGAUUUGAGUAAGAGCAUAACUGUUCGGACCCGAAAGAUGGUGAACUAUGCGUGGAUAGGGUGAAGCCAGAGGAAACUCUGGUGGAGGCUCGCAGCGGUUCUGACGUGCAAAUCGAUCGUCAAAUCUGCGCAU
rnacentral:rRNA from 1 species